GGCUUUGUGGCGGAAUGGUAGACGCUGGGGACUUAAAAUCCCUUGGUCAUUGCGACCGUGCGGGUUCGAGCCCCGCCAAAGCCACCA
rnacentral:tRNA from 1 species